AUCAAAGCCUCAGGGACAAUGGACUGGGUCCUUUGAAUUCAGUAAAGUAUUUGAUUUUCAAAGUACGACAUCCACAGAAAUAUCUUACAAACCCCCUGAAUUAGGUAACUUAACUUCCAAUAAUGUUUUUUUGUUACCAGUUAUAUCUAUUCUUUAUGAAACUCACACAAUUCUAUUUAUUUUCUAAAUAGCAAACCAAAUUGUAUUGGAGGCCCAGCCAGAAACAGGUAUAGCUUUGCAAAUUCAUUUUUCCUAUUUAAACCCUAGCUGUCAUGUAAAAAUUUGGUGGCAUUUCAUAGACAUUAAAAUGUAACCCAUGCGAACCAAUACCUGAGUUAUUAUUUUUGUUGUUGCAUAUUUGACAGUUUUGUUACCCUAUGCUGUGUAAAUGUCAGUUUUUAACAGAUGGUAUAACUGAUUACAAUAUAACGUUGCACUGCUCUCCUGACUCUGUGAAUGAGCAUGUUUUGUGUUUUUCUUAUUGUAGUCGUUGCAACUUGUUCAUUAACCGGAAAGAAACUAACAGCACCAAUCACAAUGUAAGUAUGAGCAUGGGACGCUGGGCAAAAAAGCAUAAGGAACGAUAAACACUGUUGUUAUUGAACUGACACACACAUGUAUAUUAAUACUUGAAGGAAUAAACAGUCACUCAGUGGAAAAUGUCUUCAAGUUGUAAUUAUUCAUAAAGGACACCACACAUGAACCAUGUUAGGAUAACCUAUUAUUACAUUAUACGGUUUUACGGUUUAGUGCUUUCACUUUGAAUCAAUAAUUUUAGAACAGAAUGUGAUAAGAUCGAUUCAUUUGUGCCAGUUUUCUAAAACACGUUAUCUGCACUUUUUGGCAAUGUUAUGCUUGUAUAACGUCCUUUGAAAAAAAAAAAGUAUUUUCUGGCUUUCAAAAUUAAAGACACUCCAGGCACUAAAACAACUUCAUCUAAAUUAAGUUGUUAUGGUGUCAUGAGGCCCCUGAAGGCACUCUUACCUCAAGGGGUUUAAACCAUUCUAAAACGGGUUAACCCCUUAGUUGCCUCUUGCGCUGAUCUCCACUCCCCCUCUGGUGGCUUCAGGCUUCUGAAUUUUCACGUUCAGGAAGUGUGGAGUGCCGUCUUGCAGGGGCAUGGCUGAUUGGCUGAGAGCAGUCAACUGAUGAUCUCAGCCAAUCAGUGACUCCCCAUUCACUUAACUGGCUUGCAAAAGGUAAGUUUCUUUUCAAGCCAGUUUUAGUGAAGCCGGAAGCUGCCAGAGGGGGAGUGGAAAUCAGCGCUUGAGGCAACCUAGGGGUUAAACCAUUUGAUAAUGAUUUAUCCACUUGAAAUAAGAGUGCGCCCAGGGACCUCCUAGCACCAUAACAACUUAAUUUAGAUUAAAGGGGCACUAUAGUCACCAGAAUAACUUUAGCUUAAUUAAGCCUUUUUUGUGUAUAGAUCAUGCCUCUGAAGUCUCACAGUUCAAUUAUCUGCCUUUUAGGAGUUAUAUCACUUUUGCUUCUGUUUAUGCAGCCCUAGUAAUGCCUCCCCUGGCUGUCACUUACACAGCCUGCAAGAAAAAAAUGGUUUCAUUUUCACAAGUAAGUAACAGAUGUUACUUACUUUAAAAGUUUUUAUCUCCUACUCUACAAAUUGAACUCUAAUUACAUACAGGAGGCUCCUGCAAAGUCAAGAAAGCUAUUAACAGAGCAUGAUAUAUGCAAUUCUAAAUUAAACCGUAUUUGCAAUAAAGGAAGUGUAAACAUUAGAUGACUCUUUACAGGAAGUGUUUAGAAAGGCUGAGUAAGUCACAUGCAGGGAGCUGUGACUAUGGCUGCAUAACCAAUGUGAUUUAACUCCUAAAUGGCAGAAAAUGAAGCAGUGAGACUGAAGGGGCAUAAUCUAUACAUCAAAACUGGUUUAUUUAGCUAAAGUUGUUUUGGUGACUUUAGUGUCCCUUUAAGGCUAAAAUAACUGAAAUCAAAAGAUUCUCUAAAUGCCACCAGCUCGGCUAUAUUCCUCUAAAAUUUGAAAUUCACUUUGAAUCCUCUAUGAAUUCCCAGCAAUACUCAAUUUAGUAAAUAACCCUAUAAAAGUCAAAUCAAAAAAGAUAACAAAUAUCUCUUAUAUUUUUCAGAGUUGACUGUGCUAAUGGAUGUGUGGGUCCAAAAGUAAAUGUUUGGGGAAUAGAUAUAUACACUGAGG